rnacentral:rRNA from 1 species
UUGUUGCAGUUAAAAAGCUCGUAGUUGGACUUUAGGCAAGGCGGCCUGGUCACCCUCUGGGUGUACUGGGAUCGCUGCGCCUCACCUUCGGGGAGCUAGUCGUGCUUCGGUGCGCUAGGGAACCGAGCCUUACCUUGAGGAAAUUAGAGUGUUUAAAGCAGGCUUAUGCUUGAAUACGUUAGCAUGGAAUAACAUGAUAGGACUUUGGUUCUAUUUUGUUGGUUUGAGGACCAAAGUAAUGAUUAAUAGGGACAGUUGGGGGCAUUAGUAUUCAAUAGUCAGAGGUGAAAUUCUUGGAUUUAUUGAAGACUAACUAAUGCGAAAGCAUUUGCCAAGGAUGUUUUCAUUAAUCAAGAACGAAAGUUAGGGGAUCGAAGACGAUUAGAUACCGUCGUAGUCUUAACCAUAAACUAUGCCGACUAGGGAUCGGUGGAAGUCGAUUUUGACUCCAUCGGCACCUUACGAGAAAUCAAAGUUUUUGGGUUCUGGGGGGAGUAUGGUCGCAAGGCUGAAACUUAAAGGAAUUGACGGAAGGGCACCACCAGGAGUGGAGCCUGCGGCUUAAUUUGACUCAACACGGGAAAACUCACCAGGUCCGGACAUGGGAAGGAUUGACAGAUUGAGAGCUCUU